GAAGGUGAGGAAGACAGACAGACAGAUAGACAGACAGAGACACAGAGGUGCUGACUGAUAAUCUAGGGCCCCAGAAACAGUGCCCUACUGAAUUCCUUUUGCUCUAAGGCAUAGAUACAUACCAGGGGAGAUAAAGACUGCAUGCUCUAAGUCCCUUGGGGCAGCUCCUCACCCCCACCCUGGCAAUAAUCUAUGUGGGCAUCUGUGAAGGUGAGGUCUGGACCAAGUUAGGCCAGAGAAGUGCCAUUUUCCUCCUGGGAGGCUCCUAGGUGCUGGGUCUUCCCCUCCAUUGCACUGUGUCUCCAGCCCCACCCCCCACGGAGUUACAGGAUUUGGGUGUCAGGCAGGUGGGGGCCUUAAUGCCUUCUUUGCAGGACUCCUGGAGACCCUCAAAUGAGCUAAAUAAACGAGUAACCCUUUGGAUAUUGCAGGAUGAAAGUAAAUGACUUGCCUCAAGACCAUAAUGAAUGCAAAUGAAUUCUGUACCUUUCCACAGGUUAGGGGGAGUCUAGAGCAACUGCUGGUGGCAAGAGUUGUCAGAACAGGAGAGGGAAUCAGAAUCAAUGGGAAUGGGGAAGGGGAGAGGGAGGGGAAACGUAAAGUGGUCCUUAGAGCAGCUAUUAAGAGAGACCUCUCUUUCAUCACCGCCUUCCUGGGCUUGUAAUCAAGUCUCUGAUGGUUUCUGCCACUGGCCUCCUGGGAGCCUUCUCUUCCAGGGCCACAGUGCCAAGGGGCAGGGCCCAGAGGAAAGGUUCACCCAUGUAGCUCUCUGCAGGGUGUUCAGUGUCCUUCAGCUGCUUAGGGAAGCUACUGGAA
rnacentral:sRNA from 1 species